rnacentral:rRNA from 1 species
UACAGAGGCCUCAAGCGUUAGGCGGAAUUACUGGGCGUAAAGCGUGCGUAGGCGGUUCGUUAAGUCCGCUGUGAAAGCCCCGGGCUCAACCUGGGAACUGCAUUUGAAACUGGCGGGCUUGAGUGUGGCAGAGGGGGGUGGAAUUCCGCGUGUAGCAGUGAAAUGCGUAGAGAUGCGGAGGAACACCGAUGGCGAAGGCAGCCCCCUGGGCCAGCACUGACGCUCAGGCACGAAAGCGUGGGGAGCAAACAGG